AUUCCAGCUCCAAUAGCGUAUAUUAAUGUUGUUGCAGUUAAGAAGCUCGUAGUUGGAUUUCUGGAUUGAGCGGCUGGCCUUGCGCGCAAGCGUUCGUGUCGGCUUCGUUUCGGUCCAUCCUCAGGGGGACCUGCGCUGGCAUUAACGUGUCGGUGUUGGGACGCCUGUCGUUUACUGUGAACAAAUUAGAGUGUUCAAAGCAAGGUGUACUUGAAUACAUUAGCAUGGAAUAAUAAGAUAGGACUUUGGUGGUUCUUUUUGAUAUUUUGUUGGUUUGCACGCCAAAGUAAUGAUUAAUAGGAGCAGUUGGGGGUAUUCGUAUUCAAUUGUCAGAGGUGAAAUUCUUGGAUUUAUAGAAGACGAACUACUGCGAAAGCAUUUACCAAGGAUGUUUUCAUUG
rnacentral:rRNA from 1 species